UAGACCUUGAGAUAAAGCAGUGGGAGCAUAACUAUGGGCCACAGCCAGAUGGAAAGGUUAAGGCAGUGCCCUGCACUAUAGGUGGUGGCUAUGGGAGUUUGAGAGGUGGUGGCUAUCUGCGUUACUGUGGUGGUGGCUGUGGGAGUCUGAGAGGUGGUGGCUAUGGGAGUCUGAGAGGUGGUGGCUAUCUGCAUUACUAUGGUGUUGGCUGUGGGAGUCUCAGAGGUGGUGGCUAUGGGAGUUUGAGAGGUGGUGGCUAUCUGCAUUACUGUGGUGGUGGCUGUGGGAGUCUGAGAGGUGGUGGCUAUGGGAGUUUGAGAGGUGGUGGCUAUCUGCAUUACUGUGGUGUUGGCUGUGGGAGUCUGAGGGGUUUUGGCUAUGGGAGUCUGAGAGGUGGUGGCUAUCUGCAUUACUGUGGUGUUGGCUGUGGGAGUCUGAGAGGUGGUGGCUAUGGGAGUCUGAGAGGUGGUUACUAUCUGCGUUACCUUGGCAGUGGGAGUCUGAGAGGUGGUGGCUGUCUGCAUUACUGUGGUGUUGGCUAUGGGAGUCUGGGAGGUGGUGGCUAUCUGCAUUACUGUGGUGUUGGCAGUGGGAGUCUGAGGGGUUGUGGCUAUCUGCAUUACUGUGGUGAUGGCUAUGGGAGUCUGAGAGGUGGUGGCUAUGGGAGUCUGAGAGGUGGUGGCUAUCUGCAUUACUGUGGUGUUGGCAGUGGGAGUCUGAGAGGUGGUGGCUAUGGGAGUCUGAGAGGUGGUGGCUAUCUGCAUUACUGUGGUGUUAGCAGUGGGAGUCUGAGAGGUGGUGGCUAUCUGCAUUACUGUGGUGUUGGCAGUGGGAGUCUGAGAGGUGGUGGCUAUCUGCAUUACUGUGGUGUUGGCAGUGGGAGUCUGAGAGGUGGUGGCUAUGGGAGUCUGAGAGGUGGUGGCUAUCUGCAUUACUGUGGCGUUGGCAGUGGGAGUCUGAGAGGUGGUGGCUAUGGGAGUCUGAGAGGUGGUGGCUAUCUGCGUUACAGUGGCGUUGGCAGUGGGAGUCUGAGAGGUGGUGGCUAUCUGCGUUACUGUGGUGGUGGCUAUGGGAGUCUGAGAGGUGGGGGCUAUCUGGGUUACAGUGGUGUUGGCAGUGGGAGUCUGAGAGGUGGGGGCUAUCUGCAUUACUGUGGCGUUGGCUGUGGGAGUCUGAGGGGUGGUGGC
ensembl:lncRNA